rnacentral:lncRNA from 1 species
AUCUUCAAAGCCUUUUUCCUCCUUUUUUCUACACGAGCCUCCAACAUGCAAGAUUUCCCAUUUCUAAAACUAAAUCCUUAGUCUCUCCCCUUCUUGCUUGAACAUUUCUCAAUAUUUCUUUCUUCCGUUGUAAACUAAAAAAAAAGAACAGAAAAAAAUAAAAGAAUCCUCCUUGGAGAUGAAUGCUUCUCUUAUUUAUAUAGCUCUUCCAACCCCUUUCACUGAAGCCAAAUUACAGCCACCUGGAAAAUACUUUAAUCAUUAUGUCUCCCACUAAGAAACUAUCCAGUUCAAAAGCAACUAGAUUAUAGUUGGGAUUCAACUUUCCUCAACCAGCC